UUACGGCAAUAUCACGUUGAAACACCGGUCCCCGUAUAAUCACUGUUAAGCAACGUCGAGCCUGGUCAGUACUUAGAUGGGUUACCACUUGGAAAUACCAGGUGCUGUAAG